rnacentral:rRNA from 1 species
UACAGAGGGGGCCAGCGGUAUUCGGAAUUAUUGGGCGUAAAGGGCGCGUAGGCGGCCACGCGUGUCUUCCGUGAAAUCCCUCGGCUCAACCGAGGAACUGCACUCGAUACUGGUUGGCUAGAGUUCGGGAUGGGGUGGCGGAAUUCCCAGUGUAGCGGUGAAAUGCGUAGAUAUUGGGAAGAACACCGGUAGCGAAGGCGGCCACCUGGACCGAUACUGACGCUGAGGCGCGAAAGCCAGGGGAGCGAAUGGG